GCAAUGGGGAGCCACUGAAGUUUCCUUGGUAGAUGACUAACAGGCUCUGAGAGUAUCUCAAGGAAGAUUAAUCUGGCAGCAUUAAAUCAAUUUUGAAAAGUUUUUUGAGCAUGCAACUUUCAGGCUACAAAUAAUUACACCAAGGAACAAGGGAUGUAAAUCCAGAUGUACAGGUAAAUACAGGAUUCAAGUGUCAAAUCUUAUCCUGAAUUUUU